UACGGAGGGGGGCAAGCGUUGUUCGGAAUUACUGGGCGUAAAGGGCGCGCAGGCGGCUGCUCAAGUCAGGCGUGAAAGGCCUGGGCUCAACCCGGGAAUUGCGCUUGAGACUGGGCUGGCUUGAGUGCGGGAGAGGAUGGUGGAAUUCCCGGUGUAGUGGUGGAAUGGCGUAGAUAGUCGGGAGGAACACCAGUGGCGAAGGCGGUUGCCUGGAGCUUUGCUGACGCUGAGGCGGCGAAAGCGUGGGGAGCGAUCCGG
rnacentral:rRNA from 1 species